AUGUUGCUGCGGUUAAAAGGCUCGCAGUUGAAUGUCGGUUAAUAUACGCGUAGAGGUGCCGGGACGUUGCGAGCUUUGUUGCCUCGUGCAUCAUUGUGAGCCGUCUCUCCAAGUGCAUCUCUCGCGGGCUAACGAUUAGAUUGACGGCACAGAGUGUUGCUCGUGCACGCAAGUGUACGUGGCUUCGCUCACACGUGUCGUCGGUUGACACCUUGAGUAAAUCAGAGUGCUUAAAGCAGUCGUUGAAACACUACGGCUGCAACUUACCCUCUCGCGAGGCUAAAGUCGUAUGUCUAUGGUGACGUCCCAAGACGUUUGGACAUUGUCUUUGCUUUGCAUGGUACGUCGGAAGACGCCGUGUGAGUUGGUUGCGCUUACGGUAAGACAUACCUUCUGUGUGUGCGCGUGCACCACCAAGCACGGAAUGAAUUGACAGGGAUGGCUCGAAGGCAUUGGUAUUGCGGGGCGAGAGGUGAAAUUCUAUGACCCCCGCAAGACUUCCCGAAGCGAAAGCGUCUGCCUAGGACGUCUUCAUUAAUCAUGAACGAAAGUUGAAGGAUCGAAGGCGAUCAGAUACCGCCCUAGUUGCAACCGUAAACGAUAUCAACCAUCAAUCCGUCAAAGCGUUCCCAUGAGUCUUCGGAGGCGGGCUUCGCGGCCCUCUUCGGGGACAAAGUGUAAGCGCUUGAUGGGCAGCUCUUCUAUCACGGGAAACCAGAGUGUUUCGGUUCCGGGGGGAGUCUGGUUGCAAAGCUGAAACUUAAAGGAAUUGACGGAAAGGCACCACCAGGCGUGGAGCUUGCGGCUCAAUUUGACUCAACACGGGAAAUCUCACCAGACCCGAACAUCUCUAACGAUUGACAGAUUGAAAGCUCUUUCUUAAUGAAGUGGAUGGUGGUGCAUGGCCGUUCUUAGUUGGUGGAGUGAUCUGUCUGGUUAAUUCCGAUAACGAACGAGACUCUCCCCUGCUAACGGACCUUAGUGUUGUUCUAGACGGUGUGAUUCGGAGCAAGAGUCCAUGGGCGUAAGCCCCGGUCUCGGACGAUGUCCACUGAUCCUUGGUGCGUUGGUGUUCCGUGUGCCAUCGGAGAGUUGAGUGUUCGCAUUCUUCGCCUCUGUGGAUUUCUCGGUUCAUCGACAAAGCGCCUCGGAGUACGUUUCUUCUUAGAGGGAUUGACGACUUAUAAGUCGUAAGAAACAGGGAGCAAUAACAGGUCUGUGAUGCCCUUAGAUGUUCUGGGCUGCACGCGUGUUACAAUGCCGGUAUCAACGGGUUAUUACACUUUUAGUGGCCUACUCCGAAAGGAGUGGGUAAACCUUUGAAAUACCAACUGCGUCUGUCUUCAUUGACAGUGCAAUUACGGCAUGCUUGGGACUGGGGAUUGCAAUUAUUCCCCACAAACUAGGAA
rnacentral:rRNA from 1 species